rnacentral:rRNA from 1 species
UACAGAGGUGGCAAGCGUUGUUCGGAAUUACUGGGCGUAAAGGGCGCGUAGGCGGCCAUCUAAGUCAGACGUGAAAUCCCCCGGCUUAACCUGGGAACUGCGUCUGAUACUGGACAGCUUGAGUAUGGGAGAGGGAUGUAGAAUUCCAGGUGUAGCGGUGAAAUGCGUAGAUAUCAGGAGGAACACCGGUGGCGAAGGCGGGUCUCUGGGCAGUAACUGACGCUGAGGAGCGAAAGCGUGGGGAGCGAACAGG